rnacentral:rRNA from 1 species
GGAUAACUACCCUUAGGACCGGGAUAACUUUGGGAAACUGAGGAUAAUACCGGAUAGGCAAUUUUUCCUGCAAUGGUUCUUUGUUUAAAUGUUUUUUCGCCUAAGGAUGGGUCUGCGGCCGAUUAGGUAGUUGGUUAGGUAAUGGCUUACCAAGCCGUUGAUCGGUACGGGUUGUGAGAGCAAGAGCCCGGAGAUGGAACCUGAGACAAGGUUCCAGGCCCUACGGGGCGCAGCAGGCGCGAAACCUCCACAAUGUGAGAAAUCGCGAUGGGGGGAUCCCAAGUGCCAUUCUUAACGGGAUGGCUUUUCAUUAGUGUAAAAAGCUUUUGGAAUAAGAGCUGGGCAAGACCGGUGCCAGCCGCCGCGGUAACACCGGCAGCUCUAGUGGUAGCAACUUUUAUUGGGCCUAAAGCGUCCGUAGCCGGUUUAAUAAGUCUCUGGUGAAAUCCUGUAGCUUAACUGUGGGAAUUGCUGGAGAUACUAUUAGACUUGAGACCGGGAGAGGUUGGAGGUACUCCCAGGGUAGAGGUGAAAUUCUGUAAUCCUGGGAGGACCGCCUGUUGCGAAGGCGUCUAACUGGAACGGUUCUGACGGUGAGGGACGAAAGUUAGGGGCGCGAACCGGAUUAGAUACCCGGGUAGUCCUAACUGUAAACGAUGCGGACUUGGUGUUGGGGUGGCUUUGAGCUGUCCCAGUGCCGAAGGGAAGCUGUUAAGUCCGCCGCCUGGGAAGUACGGUCGCAAGACUGAAACUUAA